AGUUAUGUCCUUUUUAUCCGCACAAUCCAGAAGUCUUGCUAAAUGAAUUGAAGUCACCAGCUGAGCUACUGGAUUUUGGAGAAUUCUCAGAUUGCCUCGAUUUUGGGAGCAGCUCUGGUUCCCCUCUACUUCAUGUUGUAAAUCCCGCAUUUGAUUACGUGCCACCAAAUCUUGUUAGUUUGUUUAUAACAGACACGGGUGGACAUAAUGCUUCAUACAUGUACCGGCUCAUAGCUGACUAUUAUUCUGCUGAUGAUUUUGUGGUGAAACAGAUCGAUUUCUUGAAAUAGUUUCAAGCUUCAGCUGUUCUAUAAAUAUUAGUGAGGUAACUCAUUCAGCUGAACCUAAAACAAGCUGCAGGCAAGGAGUGCUCUCCUGGAUUUAUUACAAGUACAUGAUAAGACCGAAUUAAACGUAUACCCAGAUGAAGUUCCUGUAAAGACGCUUGAACAACAGGGGCAUUAUAGUCAAAAUGACAGCUUUAGUAAUCAUAUUCUUUUUCAUUUGUCCAAGAGGCUACACCUAUAUUGUACUGACUGCAAUAAACAGAUGAAGAGAGCCUCCCGAUUUUGCAGUGUA